rnacentral:miRNA from 1 species
AUCAGUCAGGCUUCUGGCUAAAGUUCAGCUUUCAGCUGCAUUUAGCCAGAAGCCUGACUGUAAG